rnacentral:rRNA from 1 species
UACGGGGGGAGCAAGCGUUGUUCGGAUUUACUGGGCGUAAAGGGCGCGUAGGCGGCCAGCACAAGUCAGUUGUGAAAUCUCCGAGCUUAACUCGGAAAGGUCAACUGAUACUGUGCGGCUAGAGUGCAGAAGGGGCAACUGGAAUUCUCGGUGUAGCGGUGAAAUGCGUAGAUAUCGGGAGGAAUACCGAUGGCGAAGGCAGGUCUCUGGGCUGACACUGACGCCCAUGCACGAAAGCGUGGGGAGCAAACAGG